rnacentral:rRNA from 1 species
GACAGAGGAUGCAAGCGUUAUCCGAAAUGAUUAGGCGUAAAGCAUCUGUAGGUGGCUUUUCAAGUCCGCCGUCAAAUCCCAGGGCUCAACCCUGGACAGGCGGUGGAAACUACCAAGCUGGAGUACGGCAGGGGCAGAGGGCUCGUAGAGCCGGUGGAGCGGUGCAAUGCGUAGAGAUCGGAAAGAACACCAAUGGCAAAAGCACUCUGCUGGGCUGACACUGAGAGACGAAAGCUAGGGGAGCAAAUGGG